CCUGGUUGAUCCUGCCAGUAGUCAUAUGCUCGUCUCAAAGAUUAAGCCAUGCAUGUGUAAGUACUGCCACUAGUACUGUGAAACUGCGGAUGGCUCAUUAAAUCAGUUAUCGUUUACAUGAUUGUAUCCCUUCACUGGGAACUACACGGAUAUCUAUGGCAAUUCUAUAGCUAAUACAUGCUAAAAACUCAGACUGCGCUCUCGGGUGCGGAACGAGUGUAUUUAUUAGAAUAAAACCAACAGCGUGCGUCUCUCGGGGCGUGCGCUUGUUCAAUGGUGAAUCAUUGUAACUUGUCGAAUCGCAUGGCCUUUGCGCCGGCGAUGUUUCAUUCAAAUUUCUGCCCUAUCAACUGUCGAUGGUAUGGUAUUGGCUUACCAUGGUUGUAACGGGUGACGGAGAAUUAGGGUUCGAUUCCGGAGAGGGAGCCUGAGAAACGGCUACCACAUCUAAGGAAGGCAGCAGGCACGUAACUUACCCACUCCCAGCUCAGGGAGGUAGUGACAAUAAAUACCUUACAGAUGUAUCGUUCAGCGAUAUAUCUUAAACGGAAUGAGUACAAUAUGAAGUAUUUAACGAGAACCGACUGGAGGGCAAGUCUGGUGCCAGCAGCCGCGGUAAUUCCAGCUCCAGUAGCAUAUAUUAAAGCUGUUGCGGUUAAAAAGCUCGUAGUUGGAUAUCAAUGCGUGUUCGGUUUGGUAUUCCCGUCGCGCGCUUGCGUGCGCUUUGGUCUGUGUGGUGUGCACUUGUGGCCUAGUUGCAUGUGUGCAUUGUGCACCUGAGGCGUCGUGAGUGCAGCGGGGCUUAAAUGCCAAUCGGCCGCAUAGCUUACGGCCAGUGUUAGCGAGCGGGCUUGCUCCUAGUGAGCCUGUUUGCGGCUGGCAAUUUACUUUGACUAAAUUUGAAUGCUCAACGUAUGCUUGCUUAUGCUUGAAUAUAUUGUCAUGGCAUUGGAGAAUAUGUCCCUGGUUCAUAUGGUUGGUUUUCUGAAUCGAAGGGAAAUGAUUAAUAGGGACUGACGGAGGCAUUCGUAUUGCAUUGCUAGGGGUGAAAUCCUAUGACCGAUGCAAGACGAACUACUGCGAAAGCAUUUGCCGAGAAUGUUUUCAUUAGUCAAGAACGAAAGUUAGAGGUUCGAAGGCGAUCAGAUACCGCCCUAGUUCUAACCGUAAACGAUGUCGACCAGCAAUCCGCAACAGUUACUUAACGACUGUGCGGGCGGCUUCAACCGGGGAAACCAGAGUUUUUGGACUCCGGGGGGAGUAUGGUUGCAAAACAGAAACUUAAAGGAAUUGACGGAAGGGCACCACCAGGAGUGGAGCUUGCGGCUUAAUUUGACUCAACACGGAACAACUUACCAGGCCAGGACACUUUUAGGAUUGACAGACUGAAAGCUCUUUCUUGAUUGAGUGGGUGGUGGUGCAUGGCCGUUCUUGGUUGGUGGAGUGAUUUGUCUGGUUUAUUCCGAUAACGAACGAGACUCUAGCCUACUUGUCGAGUGUGCAGUCUGCAUGUGCCAUUUCGGGAUGUCGCUCACACUUGUUCGGUGCGUUGGCUGUUUGUCGUAUUUUUGCAUUUGUCCCUCUGGGUAGAUGCGUACGUCAAAUGUGUCUUCGUGUCGUUCACGUGUGUUUGUCGUCAUUCUCUGAAGUGUGCGCACUAAGACUGUUAUGAGCACUUCUUAGCGGGAUUGUCGAUUGUUUCAAAAAACCGACAGAAAAAGAGCAAUAACAGGUCUGUGAUGCCCUUAGAUGUUCUGGGCUGCCCGCGUGUUACACUGGAGUAGUCAACGCGCUGGUAACUUUCUGCCUCGAUAGGGGUGGAUAAUCGUGAAAGCUAUUCCGUGAUGGGAAUUGAAAGUUGCAAUUAUCUUUCAUGAACGAGGAAUUCCAAGUAAGCGCAAGUCACUAACUUGUGCUGAUUAAGUCCCUGCCCUUUGUACACACCGCCCGUCGCUACUACCGAUGGACGACUUGGUGAGGUCGUUCUGAGUGAACACGAAGCUUUGGCUUCGCGUUUGCAAAAACGCCCAAACUUGGUCGUCUAGAGGAAGUAAAAGUCGUAACAAGGUUUCCGUAGGUGAACCUGCGGAAGGAUCAUUA
rnacentral:rRNA from 1 species